rnacentral:rRNA from 1 species
UGGUGGAGUGAUUUGUCUGGUUAAUUCCGAUAACGAACGAGACCUCAGCUUGUUAACUAGUGUCACCCGACCUCUAUACGGUUGAAGCGUCGUGAGUGGCGGCCUGGCCGAAAGGUUGGGUUCGUCAGUCGCGGCGUGGAUGCUUGAGGCUUGGGUGAUAUCAACUUCUUAAAAGGACUGUUGGCAUUUAGCCAAAGGAAGAGAGCCAAUAACA